CAAGCCCCAUUCAACCCUCUCAGAUGUUUGACACUACUAUUAUUGUUGUUGGUGGUGUUGUUCUUGUUGACAAGUUGGUUGCAGCACCUCAUGCAUGACGCCAAUGCAAAACCCGGCUAUCCUCGUGGCCAGUCUGGUAUCCCACCCCUCCCUCAAUCAACCCCAUCCUCGACCAACAAAACCUGCCCGGCUGUCGGUCCGUCCAUGCGGGCAAUAACAUGCUUCUUCCCGUAGUCCCGGGGGAUCGGUUGAUAAGGUGCCUCGAAUCGGAAUACUCGAUACUCGCCCUCCACCGUUGACGCAACACGAACAUGACGGGGCGGGGUCAUUUUUUCGCGUCGGAAACAUGUGAGAGACACCGAGGACGCUCCACACUUCUUCCUUGAUUCCACUGGAACUGGAACUGGAUGGAUUUCCCUCAGAUCUGAGAAAGGCAGAACAAAACAAAGGUCAUCUUGAUGUCAUGUUAUACAGAUCCAUCGCAAGAAGUAUCCAGCCGUCCUUCCAACUUCAACCCUAUCUUCCUCUCCUCCUUGCCUAAAAAACCCUCGAUAUGACGUAUGGACCGUGUCAAGAUCCAGCUAAUCGGAGUCGGUUGUCCUUGAUGCAUGCAUGCAUUCAUGCAUACAGAGACACUGACCAGUGGCCAUACGCACAGUCCUGCAAAUGUUUUUGACCCUGCCAUGCUCUCUUACAACCCCUCAUCUCGUCACCCUUUCGUCUUCCCUAUGUGCUAUGUGCAGUAUGCUGCACUAUCGAUAACGGUUGAACUUUUUUUUAAAUAAUACCGUACUAUCUAAUACACAUUUACCCCUAGCAGCUGAAAGUGGAAUCUGCCCAAUGCUGUCUAGAUUUCGCUCGUAUGGAAAUGAGAAAUUGUGUAUCUCCUUUCCCGAAACUUUCCUUCCUCCCCAGCUCCCAUAUAUUCUUGUUUGCAUCAGUUCCGGAAUGAGCCUCCGGGACAGUUGUAGGAAAGAGGAGGCGAAGGGAGGAGAUUGAGAAUGAUUUAUGUUAAGAUAACUAACCUCACCAUCUAAGACGUGGGAAAUGGGCUCAUGAUGGAUUACAGCAUCUGGUGAUAUCUGAAUUGGUUUUUAUUUACUCUGUACGCUGGUAAAUCUGUAAAUGCACGAUCGAUCGUAUAUCAGAUGGGUCAAGGUUUUAGAUGCCACCAACAAGUUUCAAAGACAAGUUGAUCCACGGGAUAUUCAUUUGUUUUGAAGAAUCA
rnacentral:sRNA from 1 species